rnacentral:rRNA from 1 species
AGAGUUUGAUCCUGGCUCAGGACGAACGCUGGCGGCGUGCUUAACACAUGCAAGUCGAGCGGUAAGGCCCUUUCGGGGGUACACGAGCGGCGAACGGGUGAGUAACACGUGGGUGACCUGCCCUCAGCUCUGGGAUAAGCCCGGGAAACUGGGUCUAAUACUGGAUAUGACUCCACGGUGCAUGUCGUGGGGUGGAAAGCCUUGUGCGGCUGAGGAUGGGCCCGCGGCCUAUCAGCUUGUUGGUGGGGUGAUGGCCUACCAAGGCGACGACGGGUAGCCGGCCUGAGAGGGCGACCGGCCACACUGGGACUGAGACACGGCCCAGACUCCUACGGGAGGCAGCAGUGGGGAAUCUUGCGCAAUGGGCGAAAGCCUGACGCAGCGACGCCGCGUGAGGGAUGACGGCCUUCGGGUUGUAAACCUCUUUCAGCUCCGACGAAGCGGAAGUGACGGUAGGAGCAGAAGAAGCACCGGCCAACUACGUGCCAGCAGCCGCGGUAAUACGUAGGGUGCAAGCGUUGUCCGGAAUUAUUGGGCGUAAAGAGCUCGUAGGCGGUCUGUCGCGUCGGCUGUGAAAAACUCGGGGCUCAACUCCGAGCUUGCAGUCGAUACGGGCAGGCUAGAGUUCGGCAGGGGGAGACUGGAAUUCCUGGUGUAGCGGUGAAAUGCGCAGAUAUCAGGAGGAACACCGGGUGGCGAAGGCGGGUCUCUGGGCCGAUACUGACGCUGAGGAGCGAAAGCGUGGGGAGCGAACAGGAUUAGAUACCCCCGUAGUCC